rnacentral:rRNA from 1 species
UAGGGAAUCUCCCACAAUGGGCGAAAGCCUGAUGGAGCAACGCCGCGUGUGUGAUGAAGGGUUUCGGCUCGUAAAACACUGUUGUAAGAGAAGAAUGACAUUGAGAGUAACUGUUCAAUGUGUGACGGUAUCUUACCAGAAAGGAACGGCUAAAUACGUGCCAC